rnacentral:rRNA from 1 species
GCGUUCAGUUACUUGACGUAGACCCGAAACCGGGCGACCUACCCAUGAGCAGGAUGAAGCGAAAGUAAAAUUUCGUGGAGGUCCGAACCCACGAGCGUUGAAAAGCUCGGGGAUGACGUGUGGGUAGCGGUGAAAUUCCAAUCGAGCCCGGAGAUAGCUGGUUCUCCCCGAAAUAGCUUUAGGGCUAGCCUCAAGGUGAGAGAUACGGAGGUAGAGCACUGAAUGUCCUAGGGGGUAUUGCACCUA